GAGAGUAUAGCUCAGUGGUAGAGCACAUGCUUAGCAUGCACGAGGUCCUGGGCUCAAUCCCCAGUACCUCCA
rnacentral:tRNA from 1 species